UUAAGUUCAGCGGGUAUUCCUACCUGAUUCGAGGUCAACUCUAAUAAAAUUGGGGUUGUUUUACGGCAGUGGCCGCCGUCACGUUCCCGUUGCGAGGUUGUGCUACUACGCAGGGGAGGCCGCGACGAGGCCGCCAAUUCAUUUCGGGGGCGGCGAGGGCGCUGCAAGACAAGCAGGCAGGCCCCUGUGCCGGUCCCCAA
rnacentral:misc_RNA from 1 species